GGUCUGGUAGUUCAGUAGGUUAGAAUAUGUGCUUGUCAAGCAUGAGGUGACGGGUUCGAAACCCGUUCAGACCG
rnacentral:tRNA from 1 species